UGGGGAAUUUUGGACUAUGGGCGCAAGCCUUAUCCAGCCAUUCCGCGUGCAGGACGAAGGCCUUCGGGUUGUAAACUGCUUUUGUACGGAACGAAAAGCCCUUCUCUAAUACAGGGGGUUGAUGACGGUACCGUAAGAAUAAGCACCGGCUAACUACGUGCCAGCAGCCGCGGUAAUACGUAGGGUGCAAGCGUUAAUCGGAAUUACUGGGCGUAAAGCGUGCGCAGGCGGUGAUGUAAGACAGUUGUGAAAUCCCCGGGCUCAACCUGGGAACUGCAUCUGUGACUGCAUGGCUGGAGUGCGGCGGGGGGGGAUGAAAUUCCGCGUGUAGCAGUGAAAUGCGUAGAUAUGCGGAGGAACACCGAUGGCGAAGGCAAUCCCCUGAGCCUGCACUGACGCUCAGGCACGAAAGCGUGGGGAGCAAACA
rnacentral:rRNA from 1 species